UGCGCAGGCGGCUUAUUAAGUCAGUGGUGAAAUCUUUCGGCUCAACCGAGAAACUGCCAUUGAAACUGAUAAGCUUGAGUAUGGUUGUGGUAGGCGGAAUAUAGCAUGUAGCGGUGAAAUGCUUAGAUAUGCUAUAGAACACCGAUCGCGAAGGCAGCUUACCAAGCCAUUACUGACGCUCAUGCACGAAAGCGUGGGGAGCAAACAGGAUUAGAUACACUGGUAGUCC
rnacentral:rRNA from 1 species